GGAAUAUUGGACAAUGGGGGCAACCCUGAUCCAGCAAUGCCGCGUGUGUGAAGAAGGCCUGCGGGUUGUAAAGCACUUUCAGUAGAGAAGAAAAGUUACCGGCUAAUACCCGGUAACCCUGACGUAACCUACAGAAGAAGCACCGGCUAACUCCGUGCCAGCAGCCGCGGUAAUACGGAGGGUGCGAGCGUUAAUCGGAAUUACUGGGCGUAAAGCGCGCGUAGGCGGCUUUGUAAGUCGGUUGUGAAAUCCCCGGGCUUAACCUGGGAAUUGCAUUCGAUACUGCAUGGCUAGAGUAUGGUAGAGGAUAGUGGAAUUCCUGGUGUAGCGGUGAAAUGCGUAGAUAUCAGGAGGAACAUCAGUGGCGAAGGCGGCUAUCUGGACCAAUACUGACGCUGAGGUGCGAAAGCGUGGGGAGCA
rnacentral:rRNA from 1 species